rnacentral:rRNA from 1 species
AGGAGCCUGUUCUAUAAUCGAUGAUCCACGAUACACCUUACCAUCCCUUGCAUACUCAGUUUGUAUACCUCCGUCAUAAGCUCACCGUAUGAACGCUACUAGUGAGCUCAAAGGUCCCCCCCACCCACACGUCAGGUCAAGGUGCAACUAAUGGAAUGGACAGCAAUGGGCUACAAUUUCUACGAUAGAACAUACCAAAACUAAAUGAAACACUAACAUAAGGCGGAUUUAGCAGUAAAAAGAAAUCAAAAAGUUCUUUUUAACUCGGCCCUGGGACGUGUACACACCGCCCGUCACCCUCCUCAACUUCCCUAGAAGAGGUAAGUCGUAACAUGGUAAGUGUACUGGAAAGUGCACUUGGACAUCAAAAUGUAACUUAACAAAAGUAUCUCACUUACACUGAGACAGAUGUCAAUUAACCUUAACCAUUUUGAGCCUUAACCUAAGCCCCCCC